ensembl:lncRNA
UUGUUUUCUGAGAAUCUACUGAACCUACUGGUAACUUGUUUGCCACGUAGCAAUAAAAAAAUAUACGAAAAACCUUGAUUAUUCUGGUUAGUCACAUUGUACUGCUAUUAUUUUGAACAAUACUGUAUGAUAAGAUAAGUGUAAAAACAACAGAUAACAACCAUUUUCUCGAGGCUCACUUUACACAAACAUAUAAAACAUAUGGCAGAAAACCUGCUCUUGAAUCAAACAAAAAAUAUUUUCCUAAUAUGCUGGAGCUUUAUACACAGCAUAAAAUAUAUUUAUGGUAUUUUCUUUCACAUUAUGUAUAAUUAAUAAAAAGGAAUAAGCUUAUCCUGCCAGUUUCAUGGAAAAUAUUCAGUUUGUUCUGUGGGAGGAAAGCAAAGAACACUUGGCAGGAGUAGAAAGAGUCUGAAUAAAAGAAGAAAGAGUGAGAGAGAAAAGCAUCCAGGUGAGUCUCUCCCACAGUGACAGAGAUUGCAGUUUCCUUCCAGCUGCCUUCACUCAGGUCCUCUUUUGCUGUGGCCCUGUGCUGCAGAUGAAGAAUGAGAGGGUGGUUGAACGCCGCAAGGCAGAUGUGAGAAGAAAGGGGAACAAACUGAGACCACACAGUGUGGAGGAACACACACACUUACAGCAAAUCCACAGAUAAGUUUUUACUGUGAACUCUAGCAUUUAAACACAACCUUAAGCUCUUCCAGACUCUGAAGGCUUGUUUUCUGGUUUGUGAUGUUUACUGCAUGCAUACUUUGGAAAAACAGGAUCGCUCAAGCAUUUUGGACAGAAUGACUUAAGCAGAGUAUAAAAACAAGUAAGGUGACCUCUGGCAAGGCCUGGAGGUAAAUAAAUGUAUUGGACCUGUUUGAGUCACACAGGCACACACACAGAAUUUAUGUCCCUUUUCAAACACUCUCACUGCUUUCCAAGUGUUCGGACAACUAUAGAUCCAACAAACAGCCAUCCAGGACUUUUCAUGCUCCCUGAUCUCCCUAUUAAUCUUCUCCCCACCCCCAACUCUCUUUCCUUCUCUGCAUUGUCUACUGAAUUGAAAUACCCUCCAAUGUAGACUGCUUCCAAGCAACCUAUGAAACAGAAGCUUGGAGAUUGUGCCAGACAAUCCACCCACUUUCAUUUUUUUUCUUCUUCUUUUUCUUUUUAACCAGAGUCAGCACUUUAACAUGGUACCCACAAUACCUUGUGUUUGAUCUUCUGCUCCAGCUAGAGACAAUGAUCCUUGCAAACCUGCAUGUUUUCCCUUCUCAAACACAAAAGAACAUUUUCAUCGAUAUAGACAACCUUACCUGACGUAAGUUUGAGCUUUAUGUCAGAAGAAUAUUACUUUCAAAAAUCAUAUAAUAUCAUAUAAAUCAUAUAAUACAAUUUACAUCAUUCCAAAGCAGCUUUACAGAAAAUGCUAAAUGGAUUUUUAUCUAAAUGGAUUUAGAUAUCCUAAGUACUAAUUAAAGUCUCAUAACCUUAAAGAGUGUGAUGGAUUGUAGGGCAUAAGAAGAUAAGUUAAAUAUACAGGAGCAAACCAUUUAGGGCCUUAUAGGUUAGUAGCAAUAUUUUGAUAUCAAUACGGAACUUAAUGGAAAACAUAUUCCAUAGCUUAGCAAUGUUUCUGAGGUGGAAGAAGGCCAUUUUUGUAACAUGAAAUAUAAUUUUUGAAAGGUAAGUUGUUCUCUAAUAUAACCCCCAGGUUAUAUUUUAACUGCAGAGGAUGAUGUAACAGUACAUCCUUUUAGUUGCAAAAUGUAUUCUAAGAGAUUCUGUAUGCAGGUUUUUGGUCCAAUAAGUAAUGCCUCAGUCUUUCCAGUUUUCAUCUGGUCAUGAUGAAAUAUAUAACUGAAUGAAAUAUAUAUGAGUACCAACGGCAUAGCAGUGGAAACCAAUUCCAUGUUUUCUAAAAUUGUUGCCAAGUGGCAGCAUGUAUAUUGAAAAUAACAGAGGGCCUAACACAGAUCCUUGCGGCACCCCAUAACUUACUGAUAUUAACAUGGAUUUUUCACCAUUUAUGUAGACAAAAUGGUAAUGAUCUGCUAGGUACACUCUAAACCACCAUAAUGCAAUGCAUAAUGCAUAAUGCAAAUAAAGAAAGAUAACUAACUAUAUACUAGCAUCCAGACCAAUUCACAAGCUGCAGUUAUGUCAUCUGCCUCUUUAAAUGCUCACGCUCUUAAAAGUUGGGUGGAUUCUGACUGGCUGUUAAUGUUUUUUGUAAGUAAUGUUGGGCAUUUAUAAUUAACUUUAAGCAGGUUCAUGUCUAAUAUUUUCACAAACUAGAAUCAUGCUCUACUAACGUCCAUGCAGACUUCCUCUAUUUGUCCAAACACAAGAAAAAAACUGAAAAGCAGUGACUUCAGGGCUCUGUUACUAACUGAAGUCUGGCAUAUUUGUUCUAAAAUGGCCAUACUGAAACAGCAAAACUGUCCCACCCAGUGUUAUUGUAAAUAUCUUCCAAAAAGUCACAAAGAACAUGGAGAAGUCUAUUUCACAUCUGCAAGAUGUAUUUUUUUAGUGUUUGCUCAUCUGCAAUACGUCUUUGGGACAUUUCCUUUCAGAUGUCAAAUAGGCCUUUAGAAGUUUUCUUUAA